GACAACAUAGUACAAUGGUAGUACUUCUGCCUGUCUAGCAGAAAAUCGAGGUUCGAUUCCUCGUGUUGUCG
rfam:Capsaspora owczarzaki ATCC 30864 unplaced genomic scaffold supercont2.28, whole genome shotgun sequence.